rnacentral:rRNA from 3 species
AAAUUGAAGAGUUUGAUCAUGGCUCAGAUUGAACGCUGGCGGCAGGCCUAACACAUGCAAGUCGAACGGUAACAGGAAGCAGCUUGCUGCUUCGCUGACGAGUGGCGGACGGGUGAGUAAUGUCUGGGAAACUGCCUGAUGGAGGGGGAUAACUACUGGAAACGGUGGCUAAUACCGCAUAACGUCGCAAGACCAAAGAGGGGGACCUUCGGGCCUCUUGCCAUCAGAUGUGCCCAGAUGGGAUUAGCUUGUUGGUGAGGUAACGGCUCACCAAGGCGACGAUCCCUAGCUGGUCUGAGAGGAUGACCAGCCACACUGGAACUGAGACACGGUCCAGACUCCUACGGGAGGCAGCAGUGGGGAAUAUUGCACAAUGGGCGCAAGCCUGAUGCAGCCAUGCCGCGUGUAUGAAGAAGGCCUUCGGGUUGUAAAGUACUUUCAGCGGGGAGGAAGGUGUUGUGGUUAAUAACCACAGC